rnacentral:rRNA from 1 species
GCGCGAAAACUUUACAAUGCGGGAAACCGUGAUAAGGGAAUCUCGAGUGCCAGCAUAUAAUGUUGGCUGUCCAGAUGCCUAAAAAGCAUCUGUUAGCAAGGGCCGGGCAAGACCGGUGCCAGCCGCCGCGGUAACACCGGCGGCCCGAGUGGUAACCGCUUUUAUUGGGUCUAAAGGGUCUGUAGCCGGCCAAGUAAGUCCCUUGGGAAAUCUGGCAGCUUAACUGUCAGGCUGCUAGGGGAUACUGCUAGGCUUGGGACCGGGAGAGGUGAGAGGUACCUUGGGGGUAGGGGUGAAAUCUUGUGAUGCUCGGGGGAACACCAGUGGCGAAGGCGACUCACCAGAACGGGUCCGACGGUAAGGGACGAAAGCUAGGGGCACGAACCG